ACAACCACUACACCUAGCACCCGCUAAGUUGUAGUCAAGGAUUUCUUCAUUUUCAUUAUGAAGUGGAAUGCUGGUAGAAUCAUUUCUUAAAAUGGCAUGAGGGCUGAGGCCAUUGAUUUUAUUCUGCUCAGCCUUACCAUUAUGGACCAACAAAUCUCCCGAUAUUCUUUUAAUUUCUAUUUCUAUGCUUUUAAUAUUUUUGGUUUGUUCCUCAGGUCAUAUUAUUUCAUACUCAUAAACUCUGUUAAUCCAUGACUCAGUCAGAAGUGCAUGCAAAG
rnacentral:lncRNA from 1 species